AUCCAACUGACACGUCCCAAAUAGGACGAAACGCGCGUCCCGCAU
rnacentral:hammerhead_ribozyme from 1 species